GGUCUCCUGGUGUUUACCACAGGCUGUGUUCUUAUAUUGACAGUAUAGAAAGAGGAGGCAAAGUAAGCCUAUCCCAUAACACCUCAGUUUAGGCCCUGAGCCUGAUCUGUAUUGUGAAUGGGGAGACAUGG
rnacentral:snoRNA from 1 species